rnacentral:rRNA from 1 species
UACGUAGGGUGCGAGCGUUAAUCGGAAUUACUGGGCGUAAAGCGUGCGCAGGCGGUUUUGUAAGCCAGAUGUGAAAUCCCCGGGCUCAACCUGGGAAUGGCAUUUGGGACUGCAAGGCUUGAGUUUGGCAGAGGAGACUGGAAUUCCUGGUGUAGCAGUGAAAUGCGUAGAUAUCAGGAGGAACACCGGUGGCGAAGGCGGAUCUCUGGGCCUUACCUGACGCUCAGGCGCGAAAGCUAGGGGAGCGAACUGG